UGGGGAAUCUUGGACAAUGGGGGCAACCCUGAUCCAGCCAUGCCGCGUGAGUGAUGAAGGCCUUAGGGUCGUAAAGCUCUUUCGCCUGUGAAGAUAAUGACGGUAGCAGGUAAAGAAACCCCGGCUAACUCCGUGCCAGCAGCCGCGGUAAUACGGAGGGGGUUAGCGUUGUUCGGAAUUACUGGGCGUAAAGCGCACGUAGGCGGACCAGAAAGUUGGGGGUGAAAUCCCGGGGGCUCAACCCCGGAACUGCCUCCAAAACUAUUGGUCUAGAGUUCGAGAGAGGUGAGUGGAAUUCCAAGUGUAGAGGUGAAAUUCGUAGAUAUUUGGAGGAACACCAGUGGCGAAGGCGGCUCACUGGCUCGAUACUGACGCUGAGGUGCGAAAGUGUGGGGAGCAAACAGGAUUAGAUACCCUGGUAGUCCCACACCGUAAAACGAUGAAUGCCCAGUCGUCGGGUAGCAUGCUAUUCGGUGACACACCUAACGGAUUAAGCAUUCCGCCUGGGGAGUACGGUCGCAAGAUU
rnacentral:rRNA from 1 species